rnacentral:lncRNA from 1 species
GUGACCACAAGUCUUCUGCAAGUGCUGAAAAGCAGUUUGCUGCCUUUGCAUCACCAGCUGUGCAGACACAUUUAGUACCAGUGCUAGAUGGAUGGUGAGCAGCUGCCUUGUGCCGAGUGGUACCUGGAGGGGAGACUGAACAUGUGGCCUUGGUCAGGAGACAUGCCUGCAUUUCACCUCUUUUGCCUCAUUUUGAUGUGUCCAAGUGGAUGGGGUCUGUCCCAGAGGUGUGGGUGGGAGAAUCGUUACAGGAAGAGCUGGGCUCUGCUUUAGGAGUUGGGAUGUGUGCUGCAGCUCUUCCUCCUGACCUAGAGCUGCCUACAAGAUGCCUCUUCUGUCCUGCCUUGUGUUGGAAGAGCCCCUUCUGGCCGUGCCCACCCCUUCUUCAUGGUGCUUUUGACACCGGCUCUGCCACACUGCUCUGGCUGAGGCAACAAGGAAGACUGCGACCUCACUUAUUUUAA